AACUACCUAAUUUCAGAGUUUUUGUCGCUCACUCGGUUGCCACGGGAUGGCCAUUCUCAUCCAUGACAACUUGUCUUGGGAGUACUCGGCUGUGUUCCUCACUUGCGACAAUUUCUCUGUCCAGCCACAUCUGUGUUGAGGUUUUGCCCUGCACCGUCGCUAUUCUCGUCUUCCUUGGUGGGGAUGUCUCAGACUGAGACACUUCCGGCGGUUGCUGGGGUUUGCCCUCCUCCUCCGCAAGAAAGGAGGAUGCAGUGGAUUGAUCAGAAGGAGGCCUUCGCCUCAUCCCUGAUCAUGUGCAGCAUCCCACUAGGCUCUCCUCCAGAUGAGUGGAUGUAGGGACAGGGGUGUUUGGUAAAGGAACAAGACCACUUCUCCUCCACAAGUGCUAGUUCUCAAAAUAACAAGACAAGUCUGCCACAACUACCUAAUAGUAUAUCGGAGGGGCACCUUACAAGCCCUUUUAAGGUACUGGCUGGGCGGUGACAUGUCUUGCUCUUCCAACUGACUUUAUUACUGGACUCUGAGAACCCAUGCAAUUCUUCUGUAAUGGCAUCUCCCAUCACAUGAACAUCAUUCCCGACCUCAUAGGCCAACUCUUCAGAUGAACUCUUAUCUUCUGGAUACUCUGUCAGCUUCAUAGGGAGGUUUUCAGCCACUUUGUACCAAGGCUGACUUUCAGACCCGUCUGAACUGACAUACAGCUUGAGUCCAUCCACAAGGAUAACCUUGGGUUUGCCUCCAUUCUUUGGCUGGAUGCGCACCAUCACAUCCGACAGCUUUUUCAAGAUUAACCAAAGUCCUUCCCACCAAAAUUGGAAUUUGGGGUAUAGAUGUUUCCCCUUGGCUGGGUUCUGAAGCCAAACCAUCUGGCAUUCUCUUAAAGCGAUGUUCAAAUACCUUGCUGAACAUGGGCAGCUUUGCCGAGGCAUUCCUCGGCACUUUUAUGAGCACCUUGCAUGUUACUGUAUGCAGUGUGUCUGCAAAGUCCAUGGUUGUAUCCUCAAUUUUGGGACACCCUUUCACCAAGUCUACCAUCAUGUCAUGUUCGGGGGUUCUCCAGUUGAUUCGUGUGUUGCGCACCUGCAAAGUGGUGUAGGGGAGGAACGCAUCUCAAUCCUUCCACCUACGCUUUGGAUAUUAAGUAGCAUUGCCACAUUUUUCACCCAGACUCUGUUGAACCUGUCAACCGUGCCAUCUGUUUUCGGAUUAUAGGCAGUUGUCUUGUCUUUGUCACACCCAGAAUUUGGCACACCUCUUUGAACACAUCUGCCUCAAAGUUGGAGCACACUUCAGAAUGGAGCUCUUAGGGUACCCCAAACCGACACACUCAUUAACCAGUGUAUGGGCGACUGUGAUGGCAUUGGCAUCAGGACGUAUGAAUGCUUCUAUCCACUUAAAACAAUAAUUGCCAACUACCAACGCCCAUCAGUUACCAUUGUCCUCUGUGGGCAAUGGCCCAGCAAGCCCUCCUUGCACAGACAUCACAGUCUUGGAGAAAUGACGUCCGUAGACAUGCCUGGCCAAAAAUACCUAGCUUUCACUUUGGCUGUGGCCAGAGUUUUAGGUACCCCCAAGUGACCACUACGUCUCCCACCGUACAACUCGGCUAUGACUUUCUUGCUAAACUUCGGUGGCAUCACUAAUAGCCACCAGAUGGACUUUCCAUCUUUGGAGUCCCAUCUCCUUUGAACACUCGGUCACCGACCUCCAACUGGUCCUACUGUGACCAAUAGGUCUUGGAGGUCGCUGAUAAGUCAAAAAUUGUCUUCCACUGUUGGAAGUCCUUUGCUCUCUUCCUUCAACCCUAUGAGCCAACUCAUGAUGUCAUCCUACGACUGGGCUUCUCUUAGAGCACUAAAAAAACCCACUGCAGUGUGGCAUGGCCAAUUCUAAUGGUUACCUUCCGGCCAUAUGCGUGUAGGUAUUAUUUGAAAAACUUCAUAUAUAUCACCACAUCCAACAACUUUUAAUCUUCGCGAGUGACACAGUAGUUUUGCUCAGGUUUCUGAGCUUCCAACUCGCAUAAGCAAACACUUUUUUGUCACCAUCUUUGACCUGGGACAGGACUGUUCUGAUGCUGUCACCACUGGCACAGGUGUCCAAGUUGAAGUCACCUUCAGGAACCGCAUAUGACAGAACUGGAGCAGGUGGAUCCAGCCCUUCAGCUCAUGAAGUGCCUCAACAACUCUCAGUCCACACAAGCUCCUUUGACUUCUCUGUUAAGGCAAGGAGUGGGCUUGCAAUCUCUGCAAACCCUCAUAUGAACCUCUGGUAGUCCGAGGCAAGACCCAAAAAGCUUCUCUUUUCAUAUACACCUCAGAUUUGUCACUGCUUCAACCUUCAGUUUGUCUGUGUUUUCAUUAAGUGAAAAAACCCGGAUAAUAGAGACAUGUAAUUUUUUGAUUUGGAGUUUUUCCUGCUGUUACUCCCUUUGAUCCAAAGAACACUGUAUGUUUGCCUUUGGCCCGAGUCACCCAACCACCCAUAGAGCAUCCUCUUCCAAGCUUGUGGCCAACAACUCCCCGGCCUGCUCUUCACUCCCAAUAUCAUUAGAAAUGGUAGAGGUACCCUUCUAGAGCACUUUUCCACUAUACCGGUCUGGAGUUAUGUUUGGCCAACGAUUUUGUCUCUACAAUCUUCCCUUCUGACCCGAGUCACCAUGGACAUGUGCCUCUCAUUUCAGUGGCCAAGGACCCACUUAUGACAAGUCCACUCCUUCCACUGACUAGCUGUCCUUUGCCUUCACUAGUCAAGUUGCAAAACUUAGCAGCUCAUAUCACUGUGCACCUGUUUAGGGGUACCCUUUUCUACUUCAGAGACGAAUGGGUUAGUACUUAACUCACCCUGUUCCACACCACCUUGCCUUGAAGGGAGCAGCGUCGGGUUAUCAAUGACUUGACUCUUGCAUUCCAAGGCGACUGGCAUUGACCCUGCUUGUGGUUUCAUCCAUGAGCCUGGGUCCUUUAGAGGCGUAAUCUCCAAAAAGCUCACCUCCCUCCCUACUUUGGGGGCCCACUCAUGGUGUCUGGUGCCCUCCUUUGCACAUGACACUUGUCUCCCCGUUGCACCGGAGACAUAUCCAGAAGUCUUUUUUGGCAACCUAAGCUCAACAUUGGUAUGGAACGCAUGGUGAAUCCCUGCUGACCUGCCCGUGUUCCCUUCCUUUGGGGAACCAUUCGACUGCAGUACAAUCGCAGCAUCCAACUACUUUGCAAUGAGGCCUUUUUCCCAUUGCAGAAAUUGUGCUUCAAUUUUGCAGUUGUUGUAUCUCGGCCUGAGCAUCUGAGGUGCCUGACAACAGCCCCAACGAUCUCACAAAACAACAAACAGUAUACAAUGCAAAUCAAAACACAGUGUGCAAUGGAAUAAUAUCACAGAGAAAUCACGUAAUCACUCACAGUCAUCCCACUUCUGACAGCAUUUGUGGUAGGGAUCUCCCCGGGCCAAACCUAAGUUUGUUGGGCCGGUCUAAAACCUGUGGGAGUAUAGCCGCUCUUCCCAAACCCAAGCUUUCGCCAGACAUGGAUUUGAUUGGGUAUACUUCAUUACCAGGGUCCUUUAGUAGGAUUGAGGAAGUUAGAGUCCUGCCCUGCCACUUUGAUUUCAUUGUGAACAUUUCUGAAAUUUUAAAGAAUACAAUUCAGGGGAGGACUUUUGAGGAUUUGGGAAUGUUUCUAGGAAACAGGGUCUUUCGAUGCUGUCCUUAUGUCUUACUAUGGUAUGUGAGUAAAUUUACCAUUAUUUUGUCUUGACUGUCUGCUUGGACGAGUUUGGCCUCACAGGGAAUGACAAAGAUGACUCCGACAGUAAAGAAUUAAAAAGUAAGCCUUAACCACUUGAAGUUUUAACCUACUCUUUGAACUACCAAGGUGCUUGACAAGACACUUUCAUACAAACCUUGCUGGAUACUACUAGAUUGUUAGGAGAUCAGAUGAAAAUGGUGGACUGCAUCAUUCCCAAGGUAACUCAUGAGGAAGUGACAAAGCAUAUGGCUCCGCCUAACAGUCUUCCGAUUAAAAUCACUUUACUUGGGGACGAUGAGCUGAGUUGGUAAAGACAAUGUUGCUUAACCUAGCGCUGUGAUUGGAUCACUUACCUCUAUUCUGCAAGUUGGAGUGGGUUCGAAGUGAGACAGUAUUUUUCCGUACCCAACACAGUGUUGUACUGGAUCACUUACCUCUUGUCUAAGAACGAAAUGGAUGGACAUCACUACUGGAAACACAAACUGGCUUAUGUUACAUGGUAGUUUAAAUUCUAUGCAGCAUCUUAAGGUAACAGUUACUGAAGUGUUGGAGAUUGUUAUAUAAAGACUGUUUGCCUACAAAAAUUGAACUCAGUUGCUUUUAAAGUAGUAAAACUUGUAAAAAAUUGUGAUCUGUGUUAACUAGAAAUUUACCUUUUUUACAUGAACAUAGUAUUGCAUAACAUUCAUUUUUAUGAGCUGCCUUUAAGGUUGAAAAAUUAAGCGCAAAAUAUGGGCGAUUUCUAUGUAAGACCAAAAAAAAAAACUACAAAGAAGUUUUGAACUGGGUAUCUUUGAAGGAAGUUGUAAAACUUGUAAACAAUCGUAAUGUAUGUUAAAUACAAAGUUACCUUGUUACGUUUAGUCCACAGUGAAGUUUUGUACAGAUUAACUUUUGAAGUACGUGUAGUUGAACAAAUUUGUAAAAAAAGUAGGUUGCCUGAAGAUUGACCUGUUAAUUUCAUUUACAUUCGAUGGAACUGUAUUUCAUUAUUGUGUAAUUUAGUUUGGGUCUUGCACCACUUGAGUUUAGAUUGUUUGCAGUGUCCAUGUAUUUUGGAAAUUUGUAUCCUCCUCUUCUUCAGACUCUUUACCUGUAGUUCAUGCAUCUUGGUUGGUAUGAUGAUUGCCAUUGAACAAAGGAGGAUUCUGCUCUGAAAGCUUUUAAUAGUCAGCUGAAUGAGAUGAAAUUAUGUAAAAGAAUGAACUACGAUAUUUGUGGAAGCAGCAUGAAAUGUAGCGGUGCAACUUUGAAAUUAAAUUCCACCAUUGGGGCACGGUUUGUGACAUUUUGACACCUUUGCAGCUUAGGUAUAAGGGGUCCAAGUUGAGAUUUGUUAUUUAUACAUGUGUAAUAGCUUGUUAACUCCUAUUAGUUUAACCUAUUUUAGAGCACAUUCGAGUGUUUCAGUACUAUACCUUGCGAGUGUAACAAGGAUGUAACACCACUUCUGGCAAUUAUGGUAUUUAGUUAUAUGAUAUGAAAAUGUUCCGUCGACGGGUUUCAUGGAUUAGCUGAGAAAAUUUAAAAUACUUUUGCUCAGAACAGGUUGAUGAGCAAAAACGUGUUCCCUGAUAUUUAUUUGGAGGAGAAACUGGUGCUACAAAUGUAAAUGUUUUGCAAAACAAAAAUCUCCAACAGGUUAUGUCUCUAAUAUUUGUUCUUAAGUAUGCCAAAAGCGUCAUUAAAAAUGGUUAAAAUAAGAAUUCUGUUACAAGUUAGACGAACAUUAUCCAUACCAAUUCAGAAACUGCAAGGGACAUGUAUCCCUGUCCAGGAAUUUGUCAAAAUGUCACAAAACAAUUAACUCAUGGUACAAUCCAAAUUAUUUUCCCUCAAACGAGUAUGGAAGAUACGAAAGCUCCGUAGUGCCUUUAAGUGUGUAUUUUCAAAAGUGAACUAAAUUAUUUCGAAGACAGGAGAUACGUUUUUCAAACUCCGUUUAUACGAGAUAUAGUUUUCGAAAGUUUGUUUGAGACAAACAUUACCCAGUUUGUUCUAAUGAAAUCUAUAUUUAGAAACAUUUCUAUUUUUCGCAACAAAUCGUUUUAGGAGAUAUAUUUUUCGAUGAAGUUUGUUUCCAGGAGAUAUGUAUUUUCAGGAUUGGAUUCUUAAAAAAAAACGAACUUCAAGAUAAUACAACCCCUAAAAACGAACUAAAAAAUCUUACAACAAACAUGGAAAAUUUAAUUCCAAAAAUAGAAACGUUUCUACUUACAGAUCUUAUGGGAACGAACUGUAGAAUGUAUCUCGAACAAAUGAACUAUGGAAAAAAAAACAAAAUUUCUAAAAACAAAACCGAGUUUAAAAAUAAAAGUCAUAAAGACGAAUUCUGAAAGAUAUACUUCACAUCUUGAAAAUAUAUAGUGGAUGGCACUACGGGGCUUUCGUAGGAACAUGUAUAAAUGCAGACGUUAGUUACUAUGUACAUGUUACUCGAUACUUCUUGUAAAAGACAUGCAAUAAAAUUAAUAUGAAGUUUCAAAAUGGA